rnacentral:lncRNA from 1 species
AGAAAAUGAACAUUUCAGUCACUCAGCAAUGUCAUUUGGACAGUGGUCCAGUUAUUGAAGGUCAUAAGUGGAUUUCCAAGAGAUAAGCACCAUAAGGGAUCACUGUGAUACAAACAAGAUUAUAACCUGUUCCCUGUCUUUGAGUUGUACACAAAGCUGUCUAAUUCAGUAUUUAAAACAGAGCAGGGACUCAAAAAGCAACAUCAGAGUUGGAGUAGCUUGUGGAAGAAGCAAGUGAAGUUCUGUAAAGCAGUCUUAUUAAUGCUGAGGAAAUGGAGGCUCAAAAGGUUAUACAGUUUGCACCACUAAGCUAAUAGAUUUGAAUUCAGCCUGAACUACACAGCCUGGGUACUGACUGCCUUCCGAUCCCACAGAGUGAGGACAUCCCAAUUCACAGCAUCCUUGAAGAAGAAGAUGAAGAUGGUAAAGACAAAAAUAAUCAUGAUAGUAAAACACUAGCUAACAUUUGGUCCAGUGUGGUAACAACAUUAUGUUGCUGUAGUCCCUGAAUACCUCACUGUCUCCUGUGGGUCCACUUAACCCUGCCCACAACUCCGUCAUGAAACCUUCCUCAGUUGAACUCUUUGAGGUAUUCUUGAGCCCGCAAGGAAGGCAAAUGCAACACACUCGUUCCCACGAAACAACCAGCACAGGAGAUUUCUGUGGCUAAACAACGCUGUAAUGGAAAUCACAACACAGUCAGGCCCACCAUUCUGGUGGAAGAACAAAACCCAAAUGAAACCCGUCAAAUGGUUAUGCAACUUUUACUACAUAUAACAUGGUUACCAUGCUUUAGGGGGGUGGGCAAUAAAAAAUAAUAGAAAUAUUAAAGACUAUCUAAAUACCCUUUAUAGGAAAUCCAAUAAAAAAGUAUGUUGGAAAUACAAAAUGUUGACUUGUUGUGUGACCAACAAGAAGGGCUCACCUGGGGAAAAACCAUCUUCCCUAAAAGCAGCAACAAAGGAAGCAGAGACACCUCCAGACAGUGAUGGAUAAGCACAGACUUGAAAUUAGGGGAAGAGAAAAUGUGAGGAGGGACUCCAUGUUGGCUGAAUUGGGUCCUCCUGUCCCUG